UACGUAGAAGACUAGUGUUAUUCAUCUUUAGUAGGUUUAAAAGGGUACCUAGACGGUAAAAUUAAUCUUAAAACAAGAUAUGUUUUUACUAGAGUUAUAUAUGAGGAGGUGAGUAUUUAUGGAGUAGAGUUGAAAUUUUGUUGAUCCCAUAACGACUGGAUAGCGGCGAAAAGCAACCUUUUAUGUAAUAACUGACGUUGAGGACGAAGGCUCGGGUCACGAACAGG
rnacentral:rRNA from 1 species